rnacentral:rRNA from 1 species
ACGCUGGCGGCAGGCUUAACACAUGCAAGUCGAGCGGUAGCACAGGGGAGCUUGCUCCCUGGGUGACGAGCGGCGGACGGGUGAGUAAUGUCUGGGAAACUGCCUGAUGGAGGGGGAUAACUACUGGAAACGGUAGCUAAUACCGCAUAACGUCGCAAGACCAAAGAGGGGGACCUUCGGGCCUCUUGCCAUCAGAUGUGCCCAGAUGGGAUUAGCUAGUAGGUGGGGUAAUGGCUCACCUAGGCGACGAUCCCUAGCUGGUCUGAGAGGAUGACCAGCCACACUGGAACUGAGACACGGUCCAGACUCCUACGGGAGGCAGCAGUGGGGAAUAUUGCACAAUGGGCGCAAGCCUGAUGCAGCCAUGCCGCGUGUGUGAAGAAGGCCUUCGGGUUGUAAAGCACUUUCAGCGAGGAGGAAGGUGGUGAGCUUAAUACGCUCAUCAAUUGACGUUACUCGCAGAAGAAGCACCGGCUAACUCCGUGCCAGCAGCCGCGGUAAUACGGAGGGUGCAAGCGUUAAUCGGAAUUACUGGGCGUAAAGCGCACGCAGGCGGUUUGUUAAGUCAGAUGUGAAAUCCCCGGGCUCAACCUGGGAACUGCAUUUGAAACUGGCAAGCUAGAGUCUCGUAGAGGGGGGUAGAAUUCCAGGUGUAGCGGUGAAAUGCGUAGAGAUCUGGAGGAAUACCGGUGGCGAAGGCGGCCCCCUGGACGAAGACUGACGCUCAGGUGCGAAAGCGUGGGGAGCAAAC